rnacentral:rRNA from 1 species
AUUGAACGCUGGCGGCAUGCCUUACACAUGCAAGUCGAACGGUAACAGGUCUUCGGAUGCUGACGAGUGGCGAACGGGUGAGUAAUACAUCGGAACGUGCCUAGUAGUGGGGGAUAACUACUCGAAAGAGUGGCUAAUACCGCAUGAGAUCUACGGAUGAAAGCAGAGGAUCGCAAGACCUUGUGCUACUAGAGCGGCCGAUGGCAGAUUAGGUAGUUGGUGGGAUAAAAGCUUACCAAGCCGACGAUCUGUAGCUGGUCUGAGAGGACGAUCAGCCACACUGGGACUGAGACACGGCCCAGACUCCUACGGGAGGCAGCAGUGGGGAAUUUUGGACAAUGGGCGCAAGCCUGAUCCAGCAAUGCCGCGUGCAGGAUGAAGGCCUUCGGGUUGUAAACUGCUUUUGUACGGAACGAAAAGCCCUGGGUUAACACCCUGGGGUCAUGACGGUACCGUAAGAAUAAGCACCGGCUAACUACGUGCCAGCCGCCGCAGUAA